rnacentral:rRNA from 1 species
GGAAUUUUGGACAAUGGGCGCAAGCCUGAUCCAGCAAUGCCGCGUGAGUGAAGAAGGCCUUCGGGUUGUAAAGCUCUUUUGUCAGGGAAGAAACGGGCCUUUCUAAUACAGGGGCCUAAUGACGGUACCUGAAGAAUAAGCACCGGCUAACUACGUGCCAGCAGCCGCGGUAAUACGUAGGGUGCAAGCGUUAAUCGGAAUUACUGGGCGUAAAGCGUGCGCAGGCGGUUUUGUAAGACUGUCGUGAAAUCCCCGGGCUCAACCUGGGAAUGGCGAUGGUGACUGCAAGGCUAGAGUUUGGCAGAGGGGGGUAGAAUUCCACGUGUAGCAGUGAAAUGCGUAGAUAUGUGGAGGAACACCGAUGGCGAAGGCAGCCCCCUGGGUCAAAACUGACGCUCAUGCACGAAAGCGUGGGGAGCAAACA